AACAAAAGCACAGAGCUCCAGGGUGAAUCCGUCUGAGAGACGAGAGUGCUUCAUGCGGCCGGAGUCGGGAGAUCAAUAUUUACAGACACUCCUCUUCUUUAGACAGCAUUCAUGUCACAACGAACAAACAGGCCCUCCCUCCCUGCAAAGUGCAAAAGGCUCUAUAAAAAUGACCAUUCAAGGACGGCACAAAACCGAUGAACAAGACACCAACAAAAAUGAUGUGGCGGUGUGACGUUACGGCCUCCAGCUUGCUCCACUUUACACAAGAAAAGUCGGGGUCAUCCAGAGUGACGGCCCUGGGUCUCUGAGAUGGACGGACGGACGGGUGGGUGGGCCGAGGAGGCAGGAGCACACGGCUAUAGCAUGUUGAGGAUGGCGUUGUACAUCUGGACCAGCACGGCCAAGUGGACGGGGAGGCAAGACUGCCGGUCCUGGGUGGCAGGCGUGCAGCUCAUCGGACUGGACCAUGGAGAUGUGGUGGUGGAGCGAUGCCUGCGCACAAGCAAAGAGCGGCACAACAUCAGGCGUCUUGACUACACGGAGUUGUUAUCUCUUCUCGGUGUUGUCUCAAAAUCAGAACUUGUAAUUUUACACGUGUAUAAAUGUUAUGUUUUAUAUUUUACUUUGAAGGGCUGAGUUGCAUCGCGUAAUACAGCUGUUGCCUAGCCCAGCUCAGUGGCCUAGUGGUAGUGCGUCCGUCUUGAGACUGGAAGGUUGUGUGAUCAAACCCCGGUUGGGUCAUACCAAAGACUUUUAAUGUGUGUAAAAGAUGUUUUGGAUGAACAAACACUAAUUGUGAAACAAAUGACUGUAUGAAAACUGAAAAGUUAGAUUGCAUUGUAUUCAACAAAAAUUUGCAAUCAAGCAAACGUUUGCCUGACAGAAAUGCCUUAAAGUUAACUUUCCAGUAAAUAAGUGUAAUAAUGAAAUCUUAAAACUAUAUCAAGACAUCUAUCUAAGUAAUAUGUCCUCAUCCCAAAAUGGUAUGUUUUUUUUUUUUUUUAAAUUAUGUUCUUCAGCAAUAAAAUACAACUGUUAAUGUGAGGCCCCCUAGUGGU